rnacentral:lncRNA from 1 species
AUUUUAUCUUUAUACAUUUGUUGCAUGUGGCUAGUGCAAAUAAAGUACAAAUCUCUCUAUCCAUAACACACACAAAACACAGAUGUUGAUUUCUGGAUAAACUUAUGUAAAUCACUACACAUGUGUCUGAAUUUAUUCAUGCAAAAAUUUUGAAAAAGCAGUUUUAGAUUCUCCUUUAUAGGGAGCUUUAAAGUGAUUUAAAAUAUACACCUGUACGUAUUAAUAUGAUUUGAUGUUCAUACGAUAUUUUCUAAGUAACUUGUCUUUGUUUUUUUUCCUGAGACAGGAUCUCACUCUGUCACCCAGGCUGGAGUACAGUGGUGCGAUCUCAACUUACUGCAACCUCCGCCUCCCGGUUCAAGCGAUUCGCCUGCCUCUGCCUUAGCUAUGUCCCUUUCAGAAAAAUUCUACUUCAAGAGAAGAUUUGGUUUCAGG